rnacentral:tRNA from 1 species
GGGCUAUUAGCUCAGUUGGUUAGAGCGCACCCCUGAUAAGGGUGAGGCCCCUGGUUCAAAUCCAGGAUAGCCCA